AUGAUGUGUUGUUGCUCCUCUGUGUGCUCUCCUGUCAGGCUGAGUUCCGUGCUCUCGGAGCUGCUGGGUGAGUGCGCCAAAGACGCUGUCCAUACUCUGAGAGAGGCUCUCCAGGCCCUUCAACAGUGGAUCCAGUCCACCCGCGUGCUGCAGCCCACCGAGUCGGCAUAUACUGUUGGGGUCUGCAUUGAGGAGGGCAAGCAGCUCCAAGUUGCAUUAAAAAAAGUCCAGUCACAUUGCCCAUUCUUGAGGGACAGUCUAGGAGUGGACCAGAUGGACAGGAUGGAGAAAGACUGUGAAGACGUCCUGAGUGAAGGGACAGCUCGGAUUUGUGCUCUGACUCAGAGCCUGCAGGACCUUGCUGAGAAGGACAAACAGGAACUUAAGAAAACUACAUCUCCACCUCUGAAAUCCGAGCUCAUUGUUGAUGAGGAAACGCAUGGGGAGGCCGUAAAGGACCGGGUAUCCCCUGCUGAAGCUAUGGGAGAUCCUCUGACACACCUCAUUGCUUCAGUCACUUCACAAGCCACGGAGGUGGUCCCAGGAACCUAUGAGCUCACUGAGUCACAUCCACUUGACGCUUGCAGAGUCACGGAUGACGUUGAGUUCUUACGCAAGACAUCCAAGGUGUCAGACAAGUGUACUGUGGAGCUGCCUCACAUUACUGUUGAAGAAACUGAUGCUCAUCACCUGGUGCCUGACGCUGUACCAACUCCUGUCAUUUUAAAUGCAAAUGUACGAGAAGCCGAUGUUCAGCGCACCCAUGCUGCCGUUCCAGAGAAAUGUGAUAGCACGAUACACCUCGCCAAGGUCCUAGAGCCUGAGGCUCUGAAUACUGAGCAGCAAAGUCGAGGCACUGAUCCUCUGAGUGCAGGCCAUACAAGAGAAACUGAUCAGGACGUAGAUCUAAAGAAGCCUCCGUUUAGUGAGAUGCAACCUAGUAGCACACAUGAAAGCUUUGACACUGGUACCUCUCUCAGUAGCAAUGAGAUGGAGCAAAGUCUUGUUCCUGCAGCUGAUACUUUUGUAACAGGUGAGAAGGACAACCAGAAUCUGGAGUCAAAGAAAGUCACUGGGCUUGUUCUCGACAUUGGUAUGCUAUACGUUCAGACACCAGAGACUUUGCAGCCAGUAAAUAGCGAGACCAUGCGCAUUGUUUCUUGUGGAAUGACAGGCUUAGACACCAUUUGGAGUCAGUCAGAAAAGGAGGAGGAGACUAAGGGACAAGAUGCUGACAUUCCUGGACUAACUGAUGCAUGGGAUGUAGAUGCUGCAAAGCAACAGCUCUGCAUUCAAAGCACUUCUGUACAGCACACUCAACCUAUGGACACUACAGCAGUGACCAAGGAUCAGAUGCCACAUGCAGAGAAAAUGUCCAGUAGUGCCCCUCUUGAGGAUACUGAGAUGCUGCAGGGAAAUAUCCCACUCUCUGAACCAAUCUUUGUCCAACCAGUAGAACAACAGCAGGAAGAGCAUUUACUGGAUCUGCCCACAGAGACAGAGAAAACUGACAUUUCUCACUUUUGCAAAAGUGAGAGCAUCGAGGAGACGGGGAGCAUUUUGCCCCUGGAUGUUCAACAAAGUUGCAUUUUACUGGAUUUAAAGGAAUGUGAUAGAGAGACUGGUAUGUCUGAGGCCCUACAUUUAGACACACCCAAGGCCGCCAUCCAAUGUUAUGAACAAGAGAAUGACAACAUCUUCCCUAACAGUGAUUCAGAGCCAACAGAUGGAGGUCCUGUUGUCAGUGGGCCACCAACCAAUGGGGUACAAGCUGACACAAAACAAGAAUCGAAGCCGCAGUUGUUCGUAGAAGAUACUGCACCAGAAAACAUGAGACAGCAGACAAAGUGUGAGGCAGCAGGAAUGCAAGACUCUCAGAACAAACUGAUGAAGGAGCCAGACCCAGGGCCUGUGGCUCCACCUAGACGCCGACCUAAAGAUCGGAAGGCCCAAGCAGAGUCCAGACAGAAUGGAAAUCAGGAAAGUCCUCAUGUUCAGCAGUCAGGUGAAGUCUCCACAGAGAGCCCGUCAGCGAGCAGGGAGGAGGAUGCAACAGAAGCCAUGAGUGAUGUGAGAAGUACAAAUCUGCAGCAGGAAACAUCAGAUAAGUCUGCCAUCCAGGAAUUUUUCACUGGAAUUCAAAGACAGGUGGAAAUUGGACCCAGCCGCAUUCUUAUCUGGGUGGGUGUGCAGGCUAUUGUUUUGACCGGUUAACCUGUGCCUUAAUGCUAUCUGCACUCAUUACCACUACUGUUACCACAGCCUCUUUUUGUGAUGAAAUUCUCUGUGGAAUUCCAGGGAGAUGCACCCAAGGAAUCUACUGAUGGUCUGGGUGCUUCAUGGAGAGACCUUGAGGCACGGCUGAGCCGAGCAAUGCUCAGAGUCCUGCGCUGCCAGAACCGACCAGCUGAGGUCGAUGCUGAUGCUAUGUCUCAGCAAGUAGAGGAGGCUGAGGUGACAGACACCCACUCUUUCAUUUGUUUGUCCCAAAAGUUCAUGUUGCAUGUUGUAGUCCCUGAUGCUGCUUUUUUUUUGCUCUCGCCAAUAUUUAACUGCUUAUAAAAGGUGUUGAUUCUGGAAACACUCCCAGUUGAGUGAUGCCCUGAAUAUGCUAGAGUCAGAUUUACAGGCUGAUUUCCAUUCAUUAUGUGCAUUUCUGAUGUUGCAGGCCUCUAGGUUAUCUGUACAGGAGCAGGUAGUCUUGUUGAAAAACCAUCAGGCGGCUGAAGGGUGGGCCAGCAAGACCAAGCAGUUGGCUGAAACUCAGUGGGAUGUAUUCUUAUUGGAUGCAGAAGCCAUCAUGAGCACCAAGGAGCGUCAUUUGCAGCUCAUAGCCCAGUACCAACAGCAGACCCAGGCUGUCAAGGCCACACUACAGAGACUACCAGCAGAUCUAGAUGCCCUGAAAGCGUAAGUCAUAAAACCUGUGACAAUGGUAUUCAGUCUUGGUCUUGGA
ensembl:lncRNA